rnacentral:lncRNA from 1 species
AUGGUUCUGGACAGUGCUUCUCAGAGAACAGGAGCUUAUUGGAGAUGUUUCCAUUGGGGGCAUCAUCUGUCCAGGCUGAUAAUAAUGAGAGGGCCUCUGGAAAGAGACAAAAAAGCGUGCCACCCCCACCCAAGCCACCCCCUUUAUCUUUGUUUCGGAUGGCUCUCCAUCCAUAAUGCCGGCCAACCGUAGGUCGUCCUGCUCACGCGACCCGAGAAGUACUUUGGAUGAAGCUAAAGGAUUUUCCCCCUUUCCUGUGGUU